GACGGAGGAUGCAAGUGUUAUCCGGAAUUACUGGGCGUAAAGCGCGUGUAGGCGGCUAAGUAAGUCGGGCGUGAAAUCCCACGGCUCAACCGUGGAAGUGCACUCGAAACUGCAUAGCUAGAGUCCUGGAGAGGAAGGUGGAAUGCUUGGUGUAGAGGUGAAAUUCGUAGAUAUCAAGCGGAGCACCGGUGGCGAAGGCGGCCUUCUGGACAGUGACUGACGCUGAGACGCGAAAGCGUGGGGAGCAAACAGG
rnacentral:rRNA from 1 species